rnacentral:tRNA from 1 species
UGGAACAUAGCCAAGUGGUAAGGCCUUUGAUUCUGAAUCAAAUAUACGAAGGUUCGAAUCCUUCUGUUCCAACCA